UACGUAGGGUCCGAGCGUUGUCCGGAAUUAUUGGGCGUAAAGGGCUCGUAGGCGGUUUGUCACGUCGGGGGUGAAAACUCAGGGCUUAACCCUGAGCGUGCUUCCGAUACGGGCAGACUAGAGUGCGGUAGGGGAGACUGGAAUUCCUGGUGUAGCGGUGAAAUGCGCAGAUAUCAGGAGGAACACCGGUGGUGUAGACGGCUUUCUGGACCGUAACUGACGCUGAAACACGAAAGCGUGGGUAGCAAACAGG
rnacentral:rRNA from 1 species